GACGAACGCUGGCGGCGUGCUUAACACAUGCAAGUCGAACGAUGAAGCCGGAGCUUGCUCUGGUGAAUUAGUGGCGAACGGGUGAGUAACACGUGAGUAACCUGCCCUUGACUCUGGGAUAACUGCGGGAAACUGUAGCUAAUACCGGAUACGACCCUCGGAGGCAUCUCCUGGGGGUGGAAAGAAUUUCGGUCAAGGAUGGACUCGCGGCCUAUCAGCUAGUUGGUGAGGUAAAGGCUCACCAAGGCGACGACGGGUAGCCGGCCUGGGAGGGUGACCGGCCCAACUGGGACUGAGACACGGCCAGACUCCUACGGGAGGCAGCAGUGGGGAAUAUUGCACAAUGGGCGCAAGCCUGAUGCAGCAACGCCGCGUGAGGGAUGACGGCCUUCGGGUUGUAAACCUCUUUUAGCAGGGAAGAAGCGAAAGUGACGGUACCUGCAGAAAAAGCACCGGCUAACUACGUGCCAGCCGCCGCGGUAA
rnacentral:rRNA from 1 species